GUCUUCUCAAUGAGCUCCUCUCUGCCAUUUGGUGGCAGUUGAUGGAUUCGCACGAGAAGAAGAGCCAGUUCACAGACCCAGCAUUACUAGUUUACUUCUGUCUUUGCAGAGGUCAAGUUAGGUUCUGUGAGACAUUU
rnacentral:snoRNA from 1 species